UUUGCAUUUAAUCCAUUUUCUUCGCCAGUCCAUGUCUCCACUUUCACAAGGACAGACAUACAUAUAUUCCCGUCAUGGCUAAUAAAAUCUGGUCAGUUUUACCGCCCAUCGUUGUCCUCCUAGCUACAUUUCAUCAUUUGACCUUUGCCUGUAUUUGUUCUCCCCCUCACGACAUUCCCAUAUCUGACCCCAUUUGGAAGGAUUACGUUGAGACAGUUAAAGUUCUGAAGUGUUCAAAUUGUACAGAUAUUCCGACCAACCAUGACCCUUCAUCCAUUACAAAGCUUGACCUCAGUUCCGGUGACAACAAAUUGACCCAUCUCACCCCGAAUAUCUUCGUUAAUAAAGCUUUCUUUAAUCUAAGGGAGAUAAAUUUAUCCAACUGUGGAAUUAUGGAUGUCGAUAAGGACGCAUUUCUCGGUAUACAACCCAUCAAAUUACUAACCCUUGACCUCAGCUACAACUCCGUGUCAUCCAUAGAUACUGGAAGUGUAUCUGUGAGGAAUUUAAACUUGCGGGGAAAUCCAAUAAAAAACUUAACAUUUGCUACAUAUUUCAUGCAGCAGUUAGACUUGAGUAAUUGUUCGUUGGAUGAAACUUUACCAAAUGCUCCAUUCGUGGACAGGCUCUUAAACAAAAUAAACCUGGAGUCCAACAAAUUAACGACCUUGUCUUGGAAGGAAUUUCGGAAAACAAGUUUACUAAAUAUCUCGUUGAAAGGCAAUCCUUGGAGGUGCGAUUGUCAUAUGCAAUUUUUGAGGGAAUAUUUACUCAAUGUGAAAGACAUCGAUAUUUCGAAGGACGAGAUUUGUGAUUCACCCCCAGAACUGAGGGGACGAGGAUUACCCUCGAUUCCAAGAAAUCAAGGGUUGCCUUGUCCCUUAAAAUACAGCGGAUUGAGUGGAACUGUGAGUGAUGGGAAAAUUGCGCUCAAGUGUUUAACCGAGGGUAUGCCUGAGCCCGUGGUCAAAUGGUACCAGGAGGAAUUUAGAACGGAUAAUUUGAUACACAGAUAUGUAAACUGAAAAAUAUUGAAAGGUUCAUAUGCCAAGUAUUUAGUUAAUUGUGAAGACCAACUUGAUGUAUUAAUAAUCCAGAAUACCGACCUACCAACCUGGAAUAGAAAUGUAUAAGGAGCCCUUGCCUAACUCGGAGACCGGGCAGCUCUACCGAUACCAAUGGGAACACAGGUUGGAAAUCUCGGACAACAGUUCGGUUUAUGGGGGCCCGUGGAUUUUUGUGUGUACCGCGGAAAACCAGUAUGGCAUUGCAAGACAACAGAUUAUAGUGACUCGUCCGACUGUGCGGCCAGUAAAGCGACAACCGGUCUAUGUUCGUAAUGCGUCACAAGGAAACGUCCAAAUCUUCCCGGAGGAAAUAGUUAAUGCUCAACCACCAGUAUUACGAGACUCCAAAAACGUAUCGACUGCCAAUAUUACGGAGCGAACCCAAUGCCCACAAAUCUUAAUUUCGAAUGUUUCACAAGAAAUAAUUCGCUUUGACGACUCGUAUUUUACACAGAUUUCGCUAGUACUUUGUAUCUUGUUGGUGGUAUGUUUGAUUGUUUUUGUAGCCAUGAUCGUCUUGCUGGUAUUGGUUGUAAGAAACUUGCAGCGUUUGAUUCCAGACAAUCUCAUGAUGAGAGACGGGAGAAUUUAUGCGAGCUCAAGUUACCCCUCUGGAAGUGCUCCGAAGCCGCCUCCGAGUUAUCGUAGCAGAAUGGAAGAAAGUUUGUAUGGGGAGUCGUACGCGAAUGUCACGUAUUUGAAGAAAUAUUGAGCAAAUUUUUCUACUGUUUCGUAAUUCAUUUCUUUAGGUUAUGUAUAUAAAUAUAUAUGCAAGCUUACAAAUUUGAUGUCAAAUAGAUCUCCCAACAUAAAUAUGUAUGUACCUCUGGAGUACCUAUAUCUACCGAUAGAUAUUUGGGAGAGCAGUUUUCAAUAAAUAAGUACAUAUUAUGUACUUGUGGGCGUGUGAAUAUUCGCAUGCCAUAUUUUCAAGAUUGUAUAUAUUUGCCAGUACAAUAUGUGUAGGCAGGAAAAAUUCAUUACUGUAUGAUACAGUAUCUAAUAAAGCUUAAGGUACCAGACCAACGAUAUUCCCUAGAUACUAUGGGGUUUUUCGAACCCAAUUUUCUGAGUUUGGGUUAAUGCUACAUAUUUUUCGUAGUGUAAAACUUGCCGAAAAUUUAUAACAGAAUUUUAUAAAAGUUAAGCUGGAGGUGACAAAAAUUCCGAUCUCUGUACAACACGAUUUUAACAAAACUCCGUUUUGUAUCAUUCAAAAAACCAUAGCAUUUUAACCUAUGAUGCUACGACGGUCAUCAAGGUCUCAAAAUGUAGCUUAUUAUAUUGUGGAGGUGUCGCGCUGGGUCUAACUGCACAUAACUUACAUUAUGUUAAAAUAAAAAAUAUAAACCCAACUUAUUUUACUGUUAUUAUGGAUUAUUUGCCAAUAAUUUAUUUUUGUACUCAUAAUGGAAGCUGGAGACCCAGCGCGACACC